CUUCUGCCUAAAACGGUGACGAAGGACAUAACGAAAAACCCCUCCCAAUUUCCUCCUACUCAAUCAGGAAAAUAUAUUAAGUGAGGAAAAUCUUCUAUGGACACACAGUAAAAUAACAGAUAUAGUCAGAUUCUGUUAAGAAACAAAAUAAUCCUGCCUAUCUUGCUGUGAAGUAGGGUUGAAAAAUAAGAACCUUGUUCUUGUUCAUUACUUGUUGCCAUGUGACCAUGACUCAGUCACUGAAGGCACUGACGUUCCACCCAUUGUGAGCUCCCCAGGCCAUUCAUUAUCAGGCAGGAAAGCCAAAGAAUGACAUUUUUAGGUAUCCAAGGACUCAGAAACUAGAUCGUCUUCCCAAAUAAAUGUCCUAAAGGCCAGCUUCAGAACCCCAACAUAGUAAUCAAAAUCUAGAUUCAAGAAAACAAAAAUAGUGGCUGAAGGGAUUGGGGCAACCUAUAAGAUUGCCUGGAAGAGAAUAUCUGACUUAAAUUGGGUCAAUCCUGGAACCUCAUCAUCUCACCCACUCCCUACCAGCCCCAUCAACUGAUCCAGCUCAAAGGCACAUAGUCAUCCAGCACAAACUAAAAAAUGCACCUCUUGGACUUUUAUAUAACAAUAUCAAAAUGCCAAGAAGAGGACCUAAGUAAUAUGAGUAUAGAAGAGAAUGACAAGUUGAGACAUUACUUCAAAUACUUAUGAAACUUAUUUUUGUUGACAACAUGGAUAAACAUUAAAAAAAAUUAAAAUAAAAUUAAUAUCGUAUCACUACUUGUAAUGCAGCUUUAAAAAAUUACUUUUUAAUUUACAAGCAUAUAUUUGAAUUCCUUAACUUUUUGGGACUCAUCAACCUUAGGCCUGCACAGGAAGAGUCCCUUAUCCACAGGAGAGUAUGUGAGGAGAGCUUCUGAAACUCGGCUUAGCAGCUUCUAAGACAUCACCACCUUGGUUUCCUCUCUCUCACCACCAGCUUGUUUUCAGUUUUCUUUGAGGUUCCUUCUUAACUUCUCUUCCCCUAAAUGUUGGAGAACUUCAGGGCUCAGUUCUCACAUGUUGUCUCUUUUCUAUCCUGCUAAUUUCCAUGUCAUUAAAUUUCAGCUAUCUGCUGCUGACACUCACAUUUAUGACUUCAUCCUAGAACUUCCCCCUUGAACUAAAGAUGCGUGCAUACCUCUGCUUACCAGAAUCUUUUACUUGAAAGUCCCAAACACAACAUCCAAAAGAAUCUCUUGACUCUCCCCAAGACUUACUGUAUCCCCAGGCUGCUACAUCUCCGUAAACAGCAACUCCUUCCUCUGGAUACCCAGCCCCAAAACCUUGGAGUCAUUCUUGACCCCUUUCUCUCACAUCCAACAUCCAAUUGGUAAGCAAAUCCUGCUUAGCAUUCCCUUUAAAAUAUAUUCAGAAUCCAAAUGCUUCUCACUUCUUCCCACUACCACUCUGUUCCAAACCACAAUCUUUUUUACCUGGAUUUUUGCUGGAGCCUCCUAACCUGUCUCUUUCCUUUCUCCCUUCCCCUUCUUAAGCCUAUUAACAUGACAGGUCCUAAAAGUAAGUUAGAUCAUGUCGCUCUGUUCCUCAGAAUCCUACAAUGGCUUCUCAUCUCACUCUGAGUGAAAUUCAAAGUCCUUACCAUGGCCCCCAAUGCCCCCAGGAUCUGCGCUCCUGCUCCACCACUCAUCUGAUGUCAUCCCCCAUGGCUCAUCCCCCUCCCUACACCAGCUAUACCCGCCUCCUUCCUGUUGCAAGAAUGAUCCCACCUUACACAUUCCCGCUCUGGGGUUUGGCCCUUGCCAUUCCCUUCAGAUGGCUGCUCAGAUGUCACUAUCAGAAAGAUCUUCCUAACCACCCGCACAAAACAGCAUUGUCUACCUGUCACCUUUACCCUCUCUCCCAUUUUACCUUGCUUAUUUUUCUUCUUAGCACCUACCACCAACUGAUGUAUGACAUGUUAUUUGCCUAAUGUCUAUCUUCUUAAGCUGAAAGCUAGGGUCUAUGAUCUCUAUUUUGUUCACUGUAGUAUCCCCAUCACCUAGAACAAUGUUUGGCCCACAAUAAGCACUCAAUAAAUAUUUGUUGAACAACUGAAUGAUUAAACCCUGUAGUCUUAAUCAGAGACGUGACAAAAUAUACACCAGCAGCUAAAAAGUAAACAUGCUAUUCAUUGAUUUGAUACAGUUAAAAUGAUUGAACUAGAGUUACUUAUGUCUGAAUCUCACAAACAAAAUGUUGAGUAAAAAUGUAAGUUGCAGAAGAAUAUGUAUAUAUACACAUACAUAUAUAAUGAUAUAUUUAAAAUUUUAAAAUAACUUAAACACGUUUUAUAUUUAUUGUCUGAUAUAUACAUAUAUAUAGAGAGAGAGGAAUGAGAUGAUGCAUGAGAAUAGUAAAUACCAAAUUCAGACAACAAAAUGGUGGAUAUCUGAGGGGGCAGUAUAGGCACAGAUGAACAUGCUAUUACACAACUAAAUAAAAUUCCAAAUACACAACACUGUUUUCCUUUAAAAAUCUAUAUCACCAGG